rnacentral:rRNA from 1 species
CAGACGAACGCUGGCGGCGUGCUUAACACAUGCAAGUCGAACGAUGAAGCCCAGCUUGCUGGGUGGAUUAGUGGCGAACGGGUGAGUAACACGUGAGUAACCUGCCCUUGACUCUGGGAUAAGCGCUGGAAACGGCGUCUAAUACCGGAUAUGACAACCGACGGCAUCGUCUGGUUGUGGAAAGAAUUUUGGUCAAGGAUGGACUCGCGGCCUAUCAGCUUGUUGGUGAGGUAAUGGCUCACCAAGGCGACGACGGGUAGCCGGCCUGAGAGGGUGACCGGCCACACUGGGACUGAGACACGGCCCAGACUCCUACGGGAGGCAGCAGUGGGGAAUAUUGCACAAUGGGCGAAAGCCUGAUGCAGCAACGCCGCGUGAGGGACGACGGCCUUCGGGUUGUAAACCUCUUUUAGCAGGGAAGAAGCGAAAGU